GUGGAAUCUCCAAGGUCAGCUCUCUGUCUUGAGGUGCAUGGAGAGUGUCUGUGCCUUCAGGGUGUGGAGGGUGCCGAGGCUCAGGGAGAGGCUCCCAUCCACAGCUCUGGCCUUUGGCCUCCUGUUAUCGUUGCCAUCCUUCUGCAAGCUCUUCAGGUACUGGUGGUGAUCACUUGGUGACAGCGCAUUGCUGGCGUGGGAUGGCAACCAGGUGGUCUACCCAUUAAAUCCCUCUGGACUGCCCUAAAAAGAGGUCCAAAUACUUUCAUCCAAAGCUGCCUGCAUGUGCUCUGUUUUUGGACCUGUCUUUGACCUUGGCCUUUUGCUCCCCACCUGCAUCCACGCAGAGCCCCUUGGUGGCCUGGAGCCUCUCUGCCCUCUGAGGUGGCUGUCUUUGCUCUAACUGCU
rnacentral:lncRNA from 1 species